ACAAGGGUGCUCAGUACGGCGAGUGAGCGGCAAAAGCUCAAAUUUGAAAUCCCCCCGGGGAGUUGUAAUUUGAAGAUUGCGUCUUGGAGGCGACCGUGUCUAUGUUCCUUGGAACAGGACGUCACAGAGGGUGAGAAUCCCGUGCGGCACGGCCCCCGGCUCCUUAUAAGGCGCUCUCGACGAGUCGAGUUGUUUGGGAAUGCAGCUCAAAGUGGGUGGUAAAUUCCAUCUAAAGCUAAAUACAGGCGAGAGACCGAUAGCGAACAAGUACAGUGAUGGAAAGAUGAAAAGCACUUUGAAAAGAGAGUGAAACAGCACGUGAAAUUGUUGAAAGGGAAGGGCAUGCCGUCAGAUUGUCAGUGUGGGUAAGAAGCGGGGUACAAAGACUGUGGAACGUGGCCCUCGGGUGUUAUAGCCGCAGUUCAUGCCCCGUCUCUUUCCGAGGCCUGCUUUGAGGACACCGACGUAAUGACGGUACGCCGCCCGUCUUGAAACACGGACCAACAGCAUAUCAAUAAGCGGAGGAAAAGGGUCCGUCUUGAACCUGGGCACCAAUUUAAUGGUAUUUCUUGUUUGUUUG
rnacentral:rRNA from 1 species